rnacentral:rRNA from 1 species
AGCGGCGGACGGGUGAGUAACGCGUGGGUAACCUGCCCUGUACACACGGAUAACAUACCGAAAGGUAUGCUAAUACGAGAUAAUAUACUUUUAUCGCAUGGUAGAAGUAUCAAAGCUUUUGCGGUACAGGAUGGACCCGCGUCUGAUUAGCUAGUUGGUGAGGUAACGGCUCACCAAGGCGACGAUCAGUAGCCGACCUGAGAGGGUGAUCGGCCACAUUGGAACUGAGACACGGUCCAAACUCCUACGGGAGGCAGCAGUGGGGAAUAUUGCACAAUGGGCGAAAGCCUGAUGCAGCAACGCCGCGUGAGCGAUGAAGGCCUUCGGGUCGUAAAGCUCUGUCCUCAAGGAAGAUAAUGACGGUACUUGAGGAGGAAGCCCCGGCUAACUACGUGCCAGCAGCCGCGGUAAUACGUAGGGGGCUAGCGUUAUCCGGAAUUACUGGGCGUAAAGGGUGCGUAGGUGGUUUCUUAAGUCAGAGGUGAAAGGCUACGGCUCAACCGUAGUAAGCCUUUGAAACUGGGAAACUUGAGUGCAGGAGAGGAGAGUGGAAUUCCUAGUGUAGCGGUGAAAUGCGUAGAUAUUAGGAGGAACACCAGUUGCGAAGGCGGCUCUCUGGACUGUAACUGACACUGAGGCACGAAAGCGUGGGGAGCAAACAGGAUUAGAUACCCUGGUAGUCCACGCCGUAAACGAUGAGUACUAGGUGU